rnacentral:rRNA from 1 species
AAUCGAACCCGGAGAUAGCUGGUUCUCCUCGAAAUAGCUUUAGGGCUAGCCUCAUUUUAGUCUUAUGGAGGUAGAGCACUGAAUUUCCGCGGGGGCGUCAAAGCUUACCAAAGAAUAUCAAACUCCGAAUGCCAUGUAGAUGAUGAAUGGGAGUCAGACUGCACGAGAUAAGUUGGGUGGUCAAAAGGGAAAGAGCCCAGACCUACAGCUAAGGUCCCAAAGUGCGUGUUAAGUGGAAAAGGAUGUGGGAUUUCAAAGACAACCAGGAUGUUGGCUCAGAAGCAGCCAUACAUUCAAAGAGUGCGUAACAGCUCACUGGUCGAGAGGUCCUGCGCCGAAAAUGUCCGGGGCUGAAACACGACACCGAAGCUUAGGAAUCACAUAGUGAUUGGUAGAGGAGCAUUCUUAAAACCGACGAAGCUGUACCGGAAGGAGCAGUGGAGGGAUAAGAAGAGAGAAUGCCGGAAUGAGUAGCGAGAGGAAGGUGGGAAUCCUUCCGGCCGAAUAUCUAAGGUUUCCAGAGUAAAGCUGAUCUGCUCUGGGUAAGUCGGGGCCUAAGGAGAGGUCGAAAGACGUAUCCGAUGGACAACAGGUUUAGAUUCCUGUACCACAUAUAAACAGAACUGUGGGGACGCAUGUGGAAAGCAUAAGCCGGGAAUGGAAAUACCGGUACAAACGGAAGAGGUGUCAGGCUGGCAAAUCCGCCUGGCAAGCCAAAGACGUGAUGUGGAGCGAAAUAAAAGUAGCGAAGUAUGUGAGCCAUGUGCCGAGAAAAGCCGCUAUUGUUUUAUAUGUGCCCGUACCGUAAACCGACACAGGUGGAUGAGGAGAGAAUCCUAAGGCCGACGGAAGAAGCAUUGUUAAGGAACUCGGCAAAAUGACCCCGUAACUUCGGGAGAAGGGGUGCCCACUUCAGGGUGGGCCGCAGAGAAUAGGCUCAAGCAACUGUUUAGCAAAAACACAGGUCUAUGCGAAACCGAAAGGUGAGGUAUAUGGGCUGACGCCUGCCCGGUGCUGGAAGGUUAAGAGGAGAGGUUAGCGCAAGCGAAGCUUUGAAUUUAAGCCCCAGUAAACGGCGGCCGUAACUAUAACGGUCCUAAGGUAGCGAAAUUCCUUGUCGGGUAAGUUCCGACCCGCACGAAAGGCGUAAUGAUUUGAGCGCUGUCUCGACAAUGCAUCCGGUGAAAUUGAAGUACCAGUGAAGAUGCUGGUUACCUGCGCCAGGACGGAAAGACCCCAUGGAGCUUUACUCCAGCUUGAUACUGGGAUUCGAUACUGUAUGUACAGGAUAGGUGGGAGACGUUGAACAUAGAACGCCAGUUUUAUGUGAGUCGCUGUUGGGAUACCACCCUUGCAGUAUUGGAUUUCUAACCUGCACCCAUGACCUGGGUGGGGGACAAUGUCUGGCGGGGAGUUUGACUGGGGCGGUCGCCUCCGAAAGGGUAUCGGAGGCGCUCAAAGGUUCCCUCAGAAUGGUUGGAAACCAUUCGAAGAGUGCAAAGGCAGAAGGGAGCUUGACUGCGACACCGACGGGUGGAGCAGGUACGAAAGUAGGACUUAGUGAUCCGGUGGUAUUAAGUGGGAAUGCCAUCGCUCAACGGAUAAAAGCUACCCUGGGGAUAACAGGCUUAUCACUCCCAAGAGUUCACAUCGACGGAGUGGUUUGGCACCUCGAUGUCGGCUCAUCGCAUCCUGGGGCUGAAGUAGGUCCCAAGGGUUGGGCUGUUCGCCCAUUAAAGCGGUACGCGAGCUGGGUUCAGAACGUCGUGAGACAGUUCGGUCCCUAUCCGGCGCGGGCGGAGGAUAUUUGAGAGGAGCUGUCCUUAGUACGAGAGGACCGGGAUGGACGGACCACUGGUGUAUCUGUUG